rnacentral:rRNA from 1 species
AGGACGAACGCUGGCGGCGUGCUUAACACAUGCAAGUCGAGCGGAAAGGCCCUUCGGGGUACUCGAGCGGCGAACGGGUGAGUAACACGUGAGUAAUCUGCCCCUAGCUCUGGGAUAGCUCCGGGAAACCGGGAUUAAUACCGGAUACGACCACCUUAGACAUCUUUUGUGGUGGAAAGAAUUUCGGCUAGGGAUGAGCUCGCGGCCUAUCAGCUUGUUGGUGGGGUAACGGCCUACCAAGGCGACGACGGGUAGCCGGCCUGAGAGGGCGACCGGCCACACUGGGACUGAGACACGGCCCAGACUCCUACGGGAGGCAGCAGUGGGGAAUAUUGCGCAAUGGGCGAAAGCCUGACGCAGCGACGCCGCGUGGGGAUGAAGGCCUUCGGGUUGUAAACCCUUUCAGCAGGGACGAAGCGAAAGUGACGGUACCUGCGAGAAGAAGCGCCGGCUAACUACGCGCCAGCACGCCGC